GUUUGGGCAGCGGGGCACUGAAGAAGCAAUUCGCACCAACGUCACACGCCCUGCGACGGGGACAAGGGGACCUUUCCGCAGCACCGUGCUGCACUGCCGUCGGCUCUGGAAGGGUGGCUGAGUGUCUCUGUUCAACCUAGGGGCAGUCAGCACAGUCCCCAUAUGUCUGCCGGCGAUCUCUCUCUCUUCUGAGAAUUCUUGCACGUCCUUUGCUCUCUUUCCUGUUUAUCUCAGGGAUGUGCACAAGCUCCUUUGCAUACAGUAGUCCUUCCCUGUCCACAGGGAUAUGUCUCAUACCUAUAUACCUAUGAUAAAGUUUAACUAUAAAUGAAGCAC
rnacentral:lncRNA from 10 species